CCUACGGGAGGCAGCAGUGAGGAAUAUUGCUCAAUGGACGAAAGUCUGAAGCAGCAACGCCGCGUGAGGGAUGACGGUGCUUCGCAUUGUAAACCUCUGUAGUUGGGGACAAACGGCGGCCUACCGGCCGCGUGAUGGUACCCAAAAAGUAAGGAUCGGCUAACUACGUGCCAGCAGCCGCGGUAAUACGUAGGAUCCAAGCGUUGUCCGGAUUUACUGGGUGUAAAGGGUGCGCAGGCGGACGUGCAAGUCAGUGGUGAAAUCUCUCGGCUUAACCGAGAAACUGCCUCUGAUACUGCUCGUCUUGAAUCAGCGAGAGAGUCGUGGAAUUCCGAGUGUAGCAGUGAAAUGUGUAGAUAUUCGGAAGAACACCAGUGGCGAAGGCAGCGACUUGGCGCUCGAUUGACGCUCAGGCACGAAAGCAUGGGGAUCAAACAGGA
rnacentral:rRNA from 1 species